AUGAUAAUUGACUGUAACAGACAGCUAGUCUUGACAACUUGCGCUUUUGCUAUUACAGAGUGACUGAUAAUUUAGGCUAACGUUAGUUCUAACAGUUAGCUGGCAUUCAAAGCACAUGUGCCUUCGAGUUAGCAGCUAGUACUUUGCAGAAAGCCUCCUUUUGCAAGAGUGAAAUAACAUUUCAGUCCGAUAAAAAUAAAGAAAUAAAUAAAAAGUUGUGCUAACACGAAAACGAAUAGCUGCUAAUGUUACCAGAAUUGUAAGCUGUUUAACGUUAUCAGUUUGCCAACGGUUACAUGUUUCCGUUUAAUAUUUUUAAUGGUCAAUAUUUUCAAAUUCCAUUUGCACUUUGGCUUAUGAUAUAUAUGAUAAUUGACUGUAACAGACAGUUAGUCUUGACUACUUGUGCUUUUGCUAUCACAGAGUGACUGAUAAUUUAGGCUAGGAAAUAAUUUGCUUUGCUUUUAAUUGUUUGCUUCUGAAUCUUUCAUUACUCACAGGUUUGUGCUGAAUUCUUCCGCAUCUACCAUAUUGACCUGAAGUCAACCAUUCCUGACAUCGCUGGACAAUCACACCCAGGGGUUGCUAAAGAUGUACAGAGCCAAAGCAAGACAGGGAAGGUGGAACAACUUGGAUGAACUUCUGGAACAACUUGAUGCCCAGGUAUCAGAAAUUCAUACAGGUUUGAAACAACAUGAGGGUGAGUAUAUGAUGACAGAACUUUCAUUUUUCGGUGGAGUAUCUCUUUAAGGGCUCUGUAGACUUGCUGCACUUGUUAGCUGAUUAUCCCCCGCAGAUUGUAAUCUUAAUGUAUUUCAGGUAACUAUUUCGUGAAGUUGGUUGAAAUGAUGCCCAAUGGUGAAAAGAGUAGGUGAUCCUAAACUGUUGGUAGAGUAUAUGUGUAACCUCUUUGUUAAUUAAGUGACUUAAUAAUGUCUUAUUGAUGGUCUUUUUGGCAUACCACAGAUCUAACUACUUAUAGAAGGUCUGUUGUUCUUCGUGGUCUUCCCCUGUACUUGAGAGAGCCAGCUUCAAUUUCAAAGACUAUUAAGGAUACUGAGGCACUGGGGCCACACACACAGGCCAUGAAAAUGGGAUUCCUGGAAGUGACUGACAGUUCUACCAACUCAGGACCAUAUCCCACAGUGGUCAAUGUGGCUGUAGUACUGGAGGAGGAAGUUGUCAUGGACAAUCUGGGAGACUUCACAAAUGCCCUCAUGAUGCUUGUUUCGGCACUGGUUGAAUACUUGUGUAAUAUUUUACUUGAGCCUAACAGGCAAGUUCAUAUGUUUUUAAAUAAAUACAUAAAAUGUUCUUUAUCAAAGCAUAGUGUGUAAUUUAUUUGAAAUAAUGAAAAAUAGACUAUUUUGACCAACAUUAAAUAUUUAAUACAACAUUUUAUUCAAUUUGAGUCUGCUUGUUGGCCCAACAAGCUAUGUUUAAUCAACAGAAAAUAUUUAAUUGACACAACAUUCUAUUUCAAGUUCAGUCUACAUGCAGGGGUAGUCAGCACAACACAAAAAAGUUGGUUUCCGCAACUUAAAUUGCGCCAACUAAAAAUUUU